GCGGGCGUGCUGGAACGGGAGACAGGCGCGGUUCAGGGCCGUGUGCUCGAAAGAGCGUGGAGGUUCGAAUCCUCUCGCCCGCA
rnacentral:tRNA from 1 species